rnacentral:tRNA from 1 species
CAGAACAUAGCUUAAUAAAGUACUUCGCUUACACCGAAUCGUUGUCUGUUAACCCAGGCUGUUCUGAG